rnacentral:rRNA from 1 species
CAAGUCGAGCGGGGGUCGGGAGCAAUCCUGGUGGCGAGUGGCGAACGGGUGAGUAAUAUAUCGGAACGUGCCCAGUCGUGGGGGAUAACGUAGCGGAAGCUACGCUAAUACCGCAUACGAUCUAUGGAUGAAAGCGGGGGAUCGAAAGACCUCGCGCGAUUGGAGCGGCCGAUAUCAGAUUAGGUUGUUGGUGGGGUAAAAGCCCACCAAGCCGACGAUCUGUAGCUGGUCUGAGAGGACGACCAGCCACACUGGGACUGAGACACGGCCCAGACUCCUACGGGAGGCAGCAGUGGGGAAUUUUGGACAAUGGGCGCAAGCCUGAUCCAGCAAUGCCGCGUGCAGGAUGAAGGCCUUCGGGUUGUAAACUGCUUUUGUACGGAGCGAAACGGCUUUUUCUAAUACAAGAAGCUAAUGACGGUACCGUAAGAAUAAGCACCGGCUAACUACGUGCCAGCAGCCGCGGUAAUACGUAGGGUGCGAGCGUUAAUCGGAAUUACUGGGCGUAAAGCGUGCGCAGGCGGUUUUGUAAGACAGAUGUGAAAUCCCCGGGCUCAACCUGGGACCUGCAUUUGUGACUGCAAGGCUAGAGUACGGUAGAGGGGGAUGGAAUUCCGCGUGUACCACUGAAAUGCGUACAUAUGCGGAGGAACACCGAUGGCGAAGGCAAUCCCCUGGACCUGUACUGACGCUCAUGCACGAAAGCGUGGGGAGCACACAGGAUUAUAUACCCUGGAAGUCCACGCACUAAACGAUGUCACUGGUUGUUGGGUCUUCACUGACUCACUAACGAAGCUAACGCGUGAAGUUGACCGACUGAGGAGUACUGACGCGAGGUUGAACUCAGAGGAAUUGAGUG